rnacentral:tRNA from 1 species
GCGGACGUGAUGGAAUUGGUAGACAUACCGGACUUAAAAUCCGGAGGCGUUAGCCGUGCGGGUUCGAGUCCCGCCGUCCGCACCA